UCCGAGAGUAUCUUCAAUUCCAAA
rnacentral:snRNA from 1 species